rnacentral:misc_RNA from 1 species
GUGAAUACAAACGCUUGGGUGUCUCUGCUUCGGCAAGCCCCUCGCACCCUUCACAUCCAUAACACCUGUGCACUGUAAGAUGACUCUCGGACUUUCGGGUCCUUGGGUUAUCUGACCUUUUUCACAAACAAAUUUAUGUAACAAAUGUAGUCUUAUUAUAACAAAAUA